rnacentral:rRNA from 1 species
CAGUCGCCGCGGGAAUACGAAGGGUGCAAGCGUUACUCGGAAUUACUGGGCGUAAAGCGUGCGUAGGUGGUUGUUUAAGUCUGCUGUGAAAGCCCUAGGCUCAACCUGGGAAUUGCAGUGGAUACUGGGUCACUAGAGUGUGGUAGAGGAUAGUGGAAUUUCCGGUGUAGCAGUGAAAUGCGUAGAGAUCGGAAGGAACAUCUGUGGCGAAGGCGACUAUCUGGGCCAACACUGACACUGAGGCACGAAAGCGUGGGGAGCAAACAGGAUUAGAUACCCCCGUAGUCCCUGUCUCUUAUAC